CCUGAAUUCAAGCAAUUCUCCUGCCUCAGCCACCCAAGUAGCUGGGAUUACAUGCUGUGUCUUCUUUUUACAUCAAAAGGGAAGGGCAGUACAUACACAUGCUUCCCAAGACUCCCAAUCCAAUGAGCGUCAGAAGGCACAGAACAGUCAGAAACAACGCUGCUGGACGCCAUACACGAGAGGGAGCUGGAGGUGCUGUGGAAAGCAAAAUUAACAGAGAGGCCUAAAAAUGAUGGGGAAGUGAGUUGUGAAGUGGUUAAGUUUGUAUCCAACAUCACACAAUUGGUGAGUGGUAGAGUUCAGACUGGACCAAAGUCUCCGGUUACCUUGUUCAAAUACGUGCACAGGCUCUAAUGCCUCCCCUGGUGGGAAAGACUAGCCCUCUGCUUUUCCUAGGUGGAUCAAAUAUUUGUACAUAAAUAUUUGUUUAUAAAUAUCUCUUUGUUUGUGAAAGGAUGGAAACCGGCCACCACACAGGCAGAGUCUCGUUCUGUGUUAUAUUGCUCUGUUGUUUCAUGUGGAAGAUGGUUUCAUCAAUCAACACUAGAAGAUGAAGAGUAUGUGAUGAAUUGUAAGAGGAAACAAAUGAAAAAUCUCAAAGUCCUGUUUGCAAGGUACUCUAUUUUGUUGAAAAUAUUUGAAUAACUAUUACUUCAUACAAAAUCCUUGGUUUAGAGCCAGCUAAAACAUUUAUAUGCACAUGAAUAAGCUGAGAUCUGAGAUGAUUUAAUGGUUUGCCCUUCACAGCCUAUAUCAGUUUUUUUUUUUAAAUUUUGUUAUUGAUAUACAAUAGUUGUACAUAUUUUAGAGGUACAUGUGAUAUUUUGAAACCUGUAUACAGUGUGUGAUGACCAAAUCAGGGUAAUAAAAAUAUUCAUUCCCUCAAACACUUACCUUUUCCUUCUGUUGGGAAUACUACAAUUCUUCUCUUUUAGCUAUUUUGAAAUAUACAAUAAAUUAUUGUUAACUAUAGUUUUCCCACUGUACUAUCAAAUACUAGAAUUUGUUCCUUCUGUCUAAUUUUAUUUUUGUACCCAACCAACUUAUCUUUAUCCCCCACCACCCCUUUCCAAGCAUCUGGUAACCACAAUUCUACUCUUUGCCUCCAUGAGAUUCAUUCUUUUAGCUCUCACAUAUGAGUGGGAACAUGUGAUAUUUGUCUUUCUGUGCAUGGCUUAUUUCAGUUAACAUAACGAUCUUCGGUUCCACUCAUGUUUCUGCAAAUGACAGGAAUUUAUUUCUUUUUUAUGGUUGAAUAAUAUUCCAUUAUGCAUAUAUACUACAGAUACCUGCACUCCCACGUUUAUUGCAGCAUUUUUUGCAAUAGAAGAGAUAUGAAAUCAACCUAUAUCAAUUUUCAUUCCAGUUGAAUACUAAGAGACAAUCUGCAAAUAUAAUUACAAAUGUCUUCCAAUAUUAAACAUAAGUGAUACAUUAUCCAUUACCUAAAUUAUAUAUUUUUUGUGGGUUGUUAUAAUGGAAAAAAGAGAAAGAAAUGAAGAUAGGUGAAGAAAAGUGCACAGGGAUAAAAAGUUGGAGACACACACCUUCAGAGUCACAUCAUUUAAAAGGUGAGAGACCAUAGUGACAGUGAUAUACUCAGGUACAAAAAGGAAACACACACUUGGGAUCCAAAAACCAAAAAACAGGUUAUACAUUAAAAGGAAAAUUUAAGAAGAUAAAAUAACAAGACAACUUACAAGAUGUAGCUAAGACCAAAGGAAACCAAUGAGGGAUAGUGAAAUACCCCAGGGCUAGCUACUGUGAGAAGCCAUUACUACCAUUAGGCCUGAGAGAACAAUGCUGGUAGCAAUUAACUGAAGCAGCAGAAAGUACAGCUGAUGAAGGCUGCCUCCCCGGAGGUACACUCAGUGAGAACAACUUCAUAUCCAUUUCCUAGUGCUGUAGGGAAGGAUUCUCCCACCUUUAAAUCUUUGCCUAUUCUUCCUAUUGGUACCAACAUAUCUAGAGCUUCAGGACAAUAGUGUCCAGGGAUAUUAUACGUGAGAGUCAGCAUCCUAGGGCACUGCAAAGGGAUUAGAAUGGUGAAUAGUAGAUCUACUGAUAUCAUUAUCUGAACCGUAUGUAGGUCAGUUUUUAUCAUUUGAUUUGUCAAUUGGUGUUUUGAUAUUUAGUUCUUUUUCUUUUUAGGUUGUUUCAUAAUUUUUAAUUAAAUGACAGGCUUUAUGUAUUAAAAACAGAGAUUUUAAAUGAUCUUCCUACCAAAAAGUUUUGUUUCUUUUUUUCUGGCAGUCACAUAGAAUAUAAGCAGUAAACCUUGAUUAAUUGGAGCCCCUCAAAUUUUGCCUUCUCAGUUGUUUUAUAUGUUUUAUCCACAUUUUAUAAUUAUCUUUUUGUAGGUUUCUUUCAUCUGAUACAAGCUGCAGUGCUAUGACUAGAAUUGGCUUUAUUCUGGGUUUGUUCUCCAGCAAACUAAAAUUGAGAGGUUAUUCGGUGAGGAAGGAAUGUAGCUACGUGCAGGCAGAAAUGUAGCUAUGUGCAGGCAGAAAUGUAGCUGUGUUGGGGAGGUAAACCAAAAAUGAAAUUCUAAGGCCCCCCAGCCAUCUGAAUGGACUUCCUCUUCAACUAGGGCUGUUUGAAAAUUUAACCCAGAGAGACGGGUUCAGGCCAUGACAGGAAGUGGGUGUCCAACUGAGAGACGGGUUCAGGCCAUGACAGGAAGUGGGUGUCGAACAUGUUUCAUUAUAGCUCUCAGGUAUCAAUACUUACAGUCUAUUCUCUCUCAAGUCUGCUAUCUGGAGACUUCAUUUGCAUGAUAAAACCUUGACUUCUACAAGCUCUUAUCACAACCCAGACAUUUCCUUUCUAUUGAUUCCAGGUCUUUAGAUAAACUCAACCAAUUACCAAUCAGUAAAUGUUUAUAGUUAAUUGAAGUCUCAUGUCUCCCUCAAAUGUUCGAAACCAGUGUGUACCUGAACCACCUUGGGCGCAUGUGCGCAGGGCCUCCUGAGGGCUGUGUCAUGGGCAUAGUCUCACAUAUUUGGCUCAGAAUAAAUCUCUUUAAAUAUUUUAACAAAGUUUGACACUACAUGGACGGGGGAAAAUCGAAAUUAGGCAGAGGUAAGGAAAAAAUCAUGCUGACUGAAGGAUCUGUAGUCUCAUUUUCUGGGUAUGGUGCUCUGAUGAGUUUCAGUUCCUUGCCUGAAAGUCGGUUUCCUGAGGAAGAAUCUCAGGAAAGCAAAUAAGUUUUGUUUAUUUUUGUUUGUUUGUUUGUUUUUGGUUUUGUUUUUUGUU